rnacentral:lncRNA from 1 species
CUUAAACCUAAGCUCUGAUUCCAUUCUAUCAUGUUCUAAAUCUAGUACUUCAGAUUGAAUAUGUGAUGGCUACACAUCCCUUAGAAUAAGCCCUAAAGAAUAUGCAAGGCCAAUAAAAUUUUUUACAACACCUCCAAUAUCCAAGAAUAAUAAUGAUCUACUUUUAUAAUACUUAACAAAAUCUUAUACAAUUACAUAUUUAAUUCUUUCAAUCAUCUGACC